CCUACGGGGGGCAGCAGUAGGGAAUCUUUCACAAUGGGCGAAAGCCUGAUGGAGCAACGCCGCGUGCAGGAUGAAGGCCUUCGGGUUGUAAACUGCUUUUAUAAGCGAGAAAUAUGAUGGUACCUUAUGAAUAAGGAUCGGCUAACUACGUGCCAGCAGCCGCGGUCAUACGUAGGAUCCGAGCAUUAUCCGGGGUGACUGGGUGUAAAGAGUUGCGUAGGUGGCAUAAUAAGUAGCUAGGGAAAUCUGGUGGCCCAACCAUUCAGACUAUUAGCUAAACUGUUAAGCUCGAGACCGUUAGGGGUAACUGGAAUUUCUAGUGUAGGAGUGAAAUGCGUAGAUAUUAGAAAGAACACCGAUAGCGUAGGCAGGUUACUGGGACGGUUCUGACACUAAGGCACGAAAGCGUAGGGAGCAAACGGGAUUAGAUACCCGUGUAGUC
rnacentral:rRNA from 1 species